CCUGGCGACGAGUGGCGAACGGGUGAGUAAUGCAUCGGAACGUGCCCAGUAGUGGGGGAUAGCCCGGCGAAAGCCGGAUUAAUACCGCAUACGACCUAAGGGUGAAAGCGGGGGAUCGCAAGACCUCGCGCUAUUGGAGCGGCCGAUGUCGGAUUAGCUAGUUGGUGGGGUAAAAGCCUACCAAGGCGACGAUCCGUAGCUGGUCUGAGAGGACGACCAGCCACACUGGGACUGAGACACGGCCCAGACUCCUACGGGAGGCAGCAGUGGGGAAUUUUGGACAAUGGGCGCAAGCCUGAUCCAGCCAUGCCGCGUGCGGGAAGAAGGCCUUCGGGUUGUAAACCGCUUUUGUCAGGGAAGAAACGGUCUGGGUUAAUACCUCGGACUAAUGACGGU
rnacentral:rRNA from 1 species